CCUACGGGCGGCAGCAGUCGAGAAUAUUUCACAAUGGGGGAAACCCUGAUGCUGCGACGCCGCGUGGGGGAAUGAAGGUCUUCGGAUUGUAAACUCCUGUAAUGUGGGAGCAAAUUAAAAAGAUAGUACAACAAGAGGAAGAGACGGCUAACUAUGUGCCAGCAGCCGCGGUAAUACGGAGGUCACAAGCGUUGUGCGGUAUCACUGGGCGUAAAGAGUGAGUAGGCGGUGUCGUAAGUCGUGUGUGAAAGCCGUGGGCUCAACCCGCGGACGGCACAUGAUACUGCGAGACUAGAGUAAUGGAGAGGGAAGCGGAAUUCUUGGUGUAGCGGUGAAAUGCGUAGAUA
rnacentral:rRNA from 1 species